CUAUCCCGCCAGAUUUCGCUCUCUCUCGAAAAUCCGCCGCUUCCCUUCCAUACAACCACUUGUUCUCCCUUUCACGCGCGCGCAAAUGUUCUCAGGCACAGCCAUGGAGCAAGCUCCAGAGCUCAUCUCCAAGAAACGGAACAGGUCAUCCUCCGCAUACCAUCCUUUCGUGGGAAUCCUCACCCGCAGCAAAUCCCAGGUCUAUCUUCACUGCAACCGCUCUGGUCGAGCCCGCUCUGAUUCAUUUCGCCACAUCAAACACCAUGAUAAUCUCAGGUCAAGGCCCAUUGGGUUCUUGUCGAAGACCCAAAUAAAAUCCCACAAUAAGAUGUCCAGACGAAAAUCAGAAAGUAUGUUGACCCAUAAUUCUGCUGAUAAAGAUGACUGGUCUGGCAUGAUCAUCAAAGAUCUCCGCACGAGACGGGUUUUCUCUUUGGCAUCAGUGGCUAAUGAUUGUGGGUUAUGCAUUGAUGUUGAGGAGAAAAAGGCAUCUGAGAAAGGGAGUGGAGGAUUUGAAGAAGCUGGGUUUUUUUCUGAUUCCAAGAAUUUGGAAGUCAUGAAGUCUGAUUCCUUCAUUGAUACACAAGAUGUUGAUGGGGAUUAUUUUGAUAGCGCAAAAGAGGGAGAAGGCAAAGAUAGCAUGAAAUCUAAUGUGGGAUAUUCUAGCAAAGAGCAGAACAGUGCUAAUUUGCCUGUGACUGAAGGGAAUGCGAGAAGUGCUGAAGAUGGUGAGAUUUCAAGCGAGGUUGGUGGUUUGGAUGAAGAAUGUUUACAGGCGACACCGCCGGACGCUGAGAUUCUUGAUAGAGAGAAUGUUUCUUGGAAGCUGUCAACUGAAAAUCUUCAGAAGAGAGUGGAUCUUCAAGAGAACAUGGACAUGAAAAAUGUCAAUAAUUCAGAAGGCAAAUCAGUUCUUACCCCACGGUCUAGAGUUAAAGUUUUCAGAGCUCCAGGCUCAUUCAGCUAUAGAAGAUUGCUUCCUUAUUUGAUGGAUAUGGUCCAAGACAAUUCUUUAUCCAUAGGUGCUCCCAGAAACGGUAAAUCAAUUGAUAAAUUUAAGAUUGAGAGUCCUUCCAUGGAGUUUCAAGCUGGUGAUUCUUUGUCACAGAGUGUGCCAAAUUUUGAGGAUGGCUUAUCUGAUGGUACUGAUUCUAAUUUAACAUCUAGUGAACGCAUCCCUGACUCGACAAUGUUAAUUGGUUCACAAAAGGAUUCUUGCACAAGAGUUUAUUCUCCCACCUCAUUGAUUCAUGAGUGUUGUUCAAAACCACCUGCCAAUGAAGUAAAUGAGAAAACUAAUAUAGGGGUUUCUUGGAAAAAUGGGAACAUAGAAAGCUCGAACCAUGACUGCUCUUCAAGGGUGGACAAUUCUCCCAUCAAUGGAUCUUCCAAUGAUACAAAACCUACGGACAGGGGAGAUAAUAGAGGAAUUAUGAGUAAGUCUCCUUGCAAUUCUCAAGAUUCUAAAGAAACAAGGUGUGAUUUAUCUUUGAAGGCAGAGAAGCAUCAACUACGUGAAGGUGACGAGAUUGAGCAACACUGUUACAAUAUGAAGCAGACUGAGAGUGUGGAAAUAAAAGAGUUUGAUGUGAGGCAUCCUUACGAAACUAUUGAUCGGAAUCAUACAAGCUCCAAUGCGUCUAAUGCAGAAGGACACAGCUGUAUUGCAAAGAAGGAAGGCAAUGAUAAUGAUGUUCUAGAUAAAAUUAAUGAUCCAAACGAAGAAUCCAUCCAGAAUACGCCACCAGAUGCUGACAUCUUUGCAAAAUCAUUGGCAUAUCAGAACGUGGAGAACAGAAUCAAAUUUGUUUCACAGAGAACUGGUCAAGUUCUCAGGAAGCCAUUGAAUGGAGUUACUCAAAAAAACAGUUGCUAUUCUAGUGAUAAAAGAAUGGGUUCAAAUUCUAAAAGCAAAUUGGGUUUAAAUCCUUGCUCACGACUGAAGCUUUUUAAGACAAGAAGCUCCUUGGGCUAUAGAAGAUUGCUUCCAUAUCUGAUGGAUGUUACUAAAGAUAAUUCUGGUGAUUCUGGAAAUGGGCAUUGCCCAAAACUUGAGAAGAACUUGGAAGAAAAUCCACUCUCACAAUUACCAAUGUCUGACCUUGAUGAAACUCCAGUGAAGAAAUUAAAUGACAGAGAUUAUGGUAUGGAGUGUGAUACUGAUCCAUGCAAUAUGAAAAUAGCUGACCACAGCAGUGAAACUCCUGUGCCAACUGUUUCACAAGAACAAGAAUUGCAAGUUGUUGAGAUGAUAUCAGAUCUUAAAGAUGGGCAGUCAGAUGCUGUUCCUGCAAUUGGGAGUUUGGUUCAUGGAAGCAGUUCAGUCACUAUGUCAUUAUGUUCUUCAAUUGUUAGUCCUAGAUCUUUCUCUGGAGAUUAUCUCAACUUAGUUUCACAUGAAUUAUCUGCUGAUAAUGAAGAGGGCUGCAGAACAUCAGUAGUAAAACUUAAUAAUAGUGCAAAGCAAGUUGAUACAGGCAGCUUGUCUCAAAACUCAUCGAUGCUUGAAGUCUUCUCCAAUCCUUUAGGAAUUCCUGCACAAGAUUCCAGGAAGGGAAUUCUUAAAAAAAAUCCAAGGGGAUGCAGAGGACCUUGCACUUGUUUAAACUGUGCUUCCUUUCGCCUCCAUGCAGAGAGGGCAUUCGAGUUCUCCAAAAAUCAGAUGCAGGAUGCUGAAGAAGUGGUCCUAGAUUUGAUCAAGGAACUAUCUCACCUACGGAAUAUGCUUGAGAAAGCUGCAUUUGGUUUUAAUGAUAAUCAUUUUAUUUGCAUCAAUCAGGUGAAAAAGGCUUGCAGGGAAGCAUCUGAAGCAGAAGAACUAGCAAAAAGCCGGCUUAGCCAAAUGAAUUAUGAUGUCAAUGUUCACAGCAGAAUAACAGUGUGUCUCAGAUAUCAUUUCAAGCAUUUAAACCACUUUCGUCCUCUAAUAUCAACCCUUUUAAGAAUUUACGCAUUCUGUCUUUUUAAACAUUCACCAAGUCUAAUUCAUAUUAUUUUCAUGCAGUGUGAGCAGAGACCGAGGGUGAGGUUUUCGAAUAAUGUUGAAGAAAGAAUAAUUUCACAGGUGAAUUCAGACAGAGUUAAAAAUUAUGAGAGCACAGCAGCGGAUGAAGUUGUAUGAAUAUUUGGCCUUGAAGACCCAUCAGGAUAAAACCAGCAUACACAAGUCAUGAAUGUUUGUGGGUUUUUUAU
rnacentral:misc_RNA from 1 species